GAUGAACGCUGGCGGCGUGCCUAAUACAUGCAAGUCGAGCGAACGGACGAGAAGCUUGCUUCUCUGAUGUUAGCGGCGGACGGGUGAGUAACACGUGGAUAACCUACCUAUAAGACUGGGAUAACUUCGGGAAACCGGAGCUAAUACCGGAUAAUAUUUUGAACCGCAUGGUUCAAAAGUGAAAGGCGGUCUUGCUGUCACUUAUAGAUGGAUCCGCGCUGCAUUAGCUAGUUGGUAAGGUAACGGCUUACCAAGGCAACGAUGCAUAGCCGACCUGAGAGGGUGAUCGGCCACACUGGAACUGAGACACGGUCCAGACUCCUACGGGAGGCAGCAGUAGGGAAUCUUCCGCAAUGGGCGAAAGCCUGACGGAGCAACGCCGCGUGAGUGAUGAAGGUCUUCGGAUCGUAAAACUCUGUUAUUAGGGAAGAACAUAUGUGUAAGUAACUGUGCACAUCUUGACGGUACCUAAUCAGAAAGCCACGGCCAACUACGUG
rnacentral:rRNA from 1 species